UACGUAGGGUGCAAGCGUUAAUCGGAAUUACUGGGCGUAAAGCGUGCGCAGGCGGUUUGGAAAGAAAGAUGUGAAAUCCCAGAGCUUAACUUUGGAACUGCAUUUUUAACUGCCAAGCUAGAGUAUGUCAGAGGGGGGUAGAAUUCCACGUGUAGCAGUGAAAUGCGUAGAGAUCGGGAGGAACAUCAGUGGCGAAGGCGGCCAUCUGGUCUGUAACUGACGCUGAGGCGCGAAAGCGUGGGGAGCAAACAGG
rnacentral:rRNA from 1 species